ensembl:lncRNA
UUUUAACCUCUCACCGCCUGGGUAAGGCAUUCCCCGGAUAUGAGUAAGGAAAUAAAAAUGAAUUAAGAUGACGCAAGAAGACAUUUCAAACAAGUUAGCUGAGAACAAAAAAGAGGUUUUAAAAUUUUUUAAAUUACAUGAUUUUUUUUUUCUGGAAGAUCAGCCAUGAGCUAACAUCCCACAUCAAUCUUACUCUUUUUGCUGAGGAAGAUUGGCCCUCAGCUAACAUCUGUGCCCAUCUUCCUCUAUUUUACAUGUGGGAGGCCUUCUACAGCAUGGCUUGAUAAGCUAUGCAUAGGUCUGCACCCAGGAUCCAAACUGGUGAACCCCAGUCCGUCGAAGUGGAGCUUGUGAACUUAACUGCUAUGCCACAGGCCGGCCCCAGUGAUGAUCCGAUUUUUGUGUAUAAAAAUAUGAAUAAAAGAAACUAAAAAAUAGAUUGUUAAAACAAAAUCAGCAAUUUGGAAAAUCAGGUGUCAGAAUCCUCACAACACAAAGCAUUGACAGUAUGGCAGUAAUGGGGUGAAUUACCCAGUUAAAAGAUAAAUAAAGAGUUGGAUUAAGAAACAAAACCCAGCCAUGUGCUUGUUACAAGGAACAAAACAAAAAAUUAUGUAGAAAAGCUAACAAGAAUGAAAUGACUAAGGAUGUUUUAAACGAAUGAUAAUUUUAAAAAUCAGCUAAGGUGAGAUGUAAUACUAAAAGCAUUCAUUAAUGCCAAGAAAAAGUGUAUUUAUAAUGAUAAAUACUAGAUUAGGGACUUCCAGUUUCAGACGUAAAGGGCUUAGAAGUUGUCACCCCUAUUCUUACAACAAGAGAAAGCCAGACAAACGAAAAAUCAACGAUUUUCCUUAGACCUAUCAGAGAGCUAAGUCGGAAGUGCAAACCCCCACCCCCAAAUCUGGAGAGACAGGUGAAUCCAGUCUCACAGUGGAGAUCUGCUUACCUGGAGCACAAGCCGCUGGAACCAUAAACUGGUAGGAACUUUUAAAUGGUGAUUUUGACAAGUUACUGGAGGCUGAGUGUGGACCAACCUGAGAGUGAGAUACUCCUGGGGGCUGAAGUCCUAGGAGCUCCAGCUUCAUGGACUUUACCUCCAGGAACCCCCGACCGGUUGUCCCAGUGAAGCCUGGAGAAAGAUCCCCUAGCGGCUUUGGCAGGGGGCAGGGAAGCGUAAUCCUUGUGAUAUAUGCCCAGAGCCUUCUCUAUGAAAAGACCUACUAUCCGGAGGGGAAAGUCUUCACCAGAGCCUCGUCCUAGAGCUAGGGGGGAAGGAUAUUCCUCUCCCUCCAGCCCCCUCCAGCCUUCCCCUCAACCCCACAAGAAGAAACACUUGUGAAUGUCAUAGGCCAGAGACACAGUCCCCAGUAAAAGACUGAGAUUUAAUUGGAAGAUUCUAGAAUGGCCUCCCUCAUCCAUACCUUACCACCACACCCAAAGGGCUACUGUAUGAUAACAGUGGAUUACAGCUGAGAGAAACACACUCUGUCUGAGAAGUACUUACAAAAGCCCAAAGUCAAAAAAAGGAGACGAAAACCAGAACACAAGAAGGAUUUUGAAGACUUUUGUGCCUAAAGCUACAGCCAUCAGAGCAAUGGUGGUGAUCCAAAGGAAAAGGUCUGGGAAAGAUUAUCUUGAUUCACAUAAUAAAGAGAUUACUA